rnacentral:lncRNA from 1 species
GAGAAGAGAAACUGAGGCUCAGAAGAGAUGCCUGGCUGAGUUUAAUAGGACUGCAACAACAAUUUUGCCUUUCUACUUUCUGCUCACCGAAGAAGACAGGAAAACUUGUCAGAUGGGGAAGGAUGUGUCAAGAGCAUGCACACAGAUUUACUCUUCAGCUAGAAGCUCCAAUUCCUAGAUGAUCUGAAUCCAACUCAGAGUGCUUGCACCUGUUUCCUGCCACACAGCUAGAGCUGUAUGAUGACCGGAGACACAGCUGUUGGAGGAAAAAAGUUUAUGUCAAUUAAAAUCCUGAAUUUCUCUGAUCUGGAAAGAAAAACUGCUAUGAACUCUUUAGGUUUCAGAUAAUGAAUACAAGAGUAAACAGGAACCCUGACUUACAGCAUAGGACUACAGGACUGGGGAGAGAAUCAUGCUACAACUGCAGUCGAGGUAAGAUGUACCUUUUGCCUUCCACCACGAUUGUGAGGCCUUCCCAGCCACAUGGGACUGUGAUUCGAUUAAACCUCUUUUUCUUUAUACAUUACCCAGUCUCAGAUGCCAACACAAGUGCUGAAGAGGAUGUUACAUGAGAGAAAGAUGGAUUCAUAUGUGGAAAAGCCUUCUAAGGAUAAAGUCUACCAUAUACUGACUUACUUUUGGAGCCUUGACAUCCUUCAUGCCACACCACUUUAUCAGUAAACCCUCCAGGAUGGAACUAUUUACUGAAAUGCCAGUACUCCCCCUCAUUUUUUAAACUACAUGACCUGUUCAGUGCUGUCUGUUCUGGAAUGAAAGGCCAAUAUCCAAGUGUUCAGAAAGACCCGGGAGAUGGGACAAAGAGGAUGAAGCUGGGGCUGGAAGGCGACUCUGGGAACGGCUCAUAAAGAUGUCCCACAGAAUGACUGAGGCUUUGUUUCAUGAAUAGGUGUCUCCAUUCGGCCUUGAUGGCUAACCAGCCAACUGAACAAGUGUAAAGGGCCCAAGAAAGGCCCGUAAAACCCAUGACAUGAAAGAACAAUUUAGGAAAAUAACAACUAAGGUAAAAAUAUCAUUUUUAUUGCAUAAAUUGCAUGAGGAGUUGUGAAAUUAAAACCAUUUAUUUAUAAAAGUUAUUUCCUCAAAAAAUAAAUAAUAUUAGGUAUAUCUCCUAAUGCUAUCCCUCCCCCCUCCCCACCCCACAACAGGCCCCAGUGUGUGAUGUUCCCCUUCCUGUGUCCAUGUGUUCUCAUUGUUCAAUUCCCACCUAUGAGUGAGAACAUGCGGUGUUACACCU